GGGGAAUAUUGCACAAUGGGCGAAAGCCUGAUGCAGCAACGCCGCGUGGAGGAUGAAGGCCUUCGGGUUGUAAACUCUUGUCUUCUGGGACGAUAAUGACGGUACCCGAGGAGGAAGCCACGGCUAACUACGUGCCAGCAGCCGCGGUAAUACGUAGGUGGCAAGCGUUGUCCGGAUUUACUGGGCGUAAAGGAUGCGUAGGCGGAUAUUUAAGUGGGAUGUGAAAUACCCGAGCUGAACUUGGGUGCUGCAUUCCAAACUGGAUAUCUAGAGUGCGGGAGAUGAGAGUGGAAUUCCUAGUGUAGCGGUGAGAUGCGUCGUGAUUAGGAAGAACACCAGUGGCGAAGGCGACUCUCUGGACCGUAACUGACGCUGAGGCAUGAAAGCGUGGGGAGCAAAC
rnacentral:rRNA from 1 species